GAUGAACGCUGGCGGCGUGCCUAAUACAUGCAAGUCGAGCGAACGGACGAGAAGCGUGCUUCUCUGAUGUUAGCGGCGGACGGGUGAGUAACACGUGGAUAACCUACCUAUAAGACGGGGAUAACUUCGGGAAACCGGAGCUAAUACCGGAGAAUAUUUUGAACCGCAUGGGUCAAAAGUGAAAGACGGUCUUGCGGUCACUUAUAGAUGGAUCCGCGCUGCAUUAGCUAGUUGGUAAGGUAACGGCUUACCAAGGCAACGAUGCAUAGCCGACCUGAGAGGGUGAUCGGCCACACUAGAACUGAGCCACGGUCCAGACUCCUACGGGAGGCAGCAGUAGGGAAUCUUCCGCAAUGGGCGAAAGCCUGACGGAGCAACGCCGCGUGAGUGAUGAAAGUCUUCGGGUCGUAAAACUCUCUUAUUAGGGAAAAACAUAUGUGUAUGUAACUGUGCACAUCUUGACGGUACCUAAUCAGGAAGCCACGGCUAACUACGUG
rnacentral:rRNA from 1 species